UGAGUAAUGUCUGGGAAACUGCCCGAUGGAGGGGGAUAACUACUGGAAACGGUAGCUAAUACCGCAUAACGUCGCAAGACCAAAGUGGGGGACCUUCGGGCCUCACACCAUCGGAUGUGCCCAGAUGGGAUUAGCUAGUAGGUGGGGUAAUGGCUCACCUAGGCGACGAUCCCUAGCUGGUCUGAGAGGAUGACCAGCCACACUGGGACUGAGACACGGUCCAGACUCCUACGGGAGGCAGCAGUGGGGAAUAUUGCACAAUGGGCGCAAGCCUGAUGCAGCCAUGCCGCGUGUAUGAAGAAGGCCUUCGGGUUGUAAAGUACUUUCAGCGGGGAGGAAGGCGGUGGAGUUAAUAGCUUCACCGAUUGACGUUACCCGCAGAAGAAGCACCGGCUAACUCCGUGCCAGCAGCCGCGGUAAUACGGAGGGUGCAAGCGUUAAUCGGAAUUACUGGGCGUAAAGCGCACGCAGGCGGUCUGUCAAGUCGGAUGUGAAAUCCCCGGG
rnacentral:rRNA from 1 species